AACGAACGCUGGCGGCAUGCCUAACACAUGCAAGUCGAACGAUGCCUCCGGGCAUAGUGGCGCACGGGUGCGUCACGCGUGGGAAUCUGCCCUUGGGUUCGGAAUAACUCGCCGAAAGGCGUGCUAAUACCGGAUGAUGACGUAAGUCCAAAGAUUUAUCGCCCCAGGAUGAGCCCGCGUAGGAUUAGCUUGUUGGUGGGGUAAUGGCCCGCCAAGGCGACGAUCCUUAGCUGGUCUGAGAGAAUGAUAAGCCACACUGGGACUGAGACACGGCCGAGACUCCUACGGGAGGGAGCAGUGGGGAAUAUAGGAAAAUGGGGGAAAGCCUGAUGAAGCAAUGCCGCGUGAGUGAUGAAGGCCUUAGGGUAGAAAAGCGCUUUUACCCGGGAAGAUAAUGACAGUACCGGGAGAAUAAGCUCCGGCUAACUCCGUG
rnacentral:rRNA from 1 species